rnacentral:rRNA from 1 species
AAUGAACGCUGGCGGCAUGCCUAACACAUGCAAGUCGAACGAAGGCUUCGGCCUUAGUGGCGCACGGGUGCGUAACGCGUGGGAAUCUGCCCUUGGGUUCGGAAUAACUCGCCGAAAGGCGUGCUAAUACCGAAUGAUGACGUAAGUCCAAGGAUUUAUCGCCCAGGGAUGAGCCCGCGUAGGAUUAGCUUGUUGGUGAGGUAAAAGCUCACCAAGGCGACGAUCCUUAGCNGGUCUGAGAGGAUGAUCAGCCACACUGGGACUGAGACACGGCCCAGACUCCUACGGGAGGCAGCAGUGGGGAAUAUUGGACAAUGGGCGAAAGCCUGAUCCAGCAAUGCCGCGUGAGUGAUGAAGGCCUUAGGGUUGUAAAGCUCUUUUACCCGGGAUGAUAAUGACAGUACCGGGAGAAUAAGCUCCGGCUAACUUCGUGCCAGCAGCCGCCGCGGUAA